rnacentral:lncRNA from 1 species
AUGCAGGUGAGGGGGCAACUGGCCAAAGCUGACCUCCAGAGAGAUGAGGGAGGGAGCAGGAGCCCUGCACCUCCUGAGCAGAGCUGCGGAAGUCAGACCUCUGGGCCCGGGUCUGCAGCCCAGGCCAAUGCCCCAGUGCCCCAAUGCCUCUGGGAGGCAAGCUCAUGGGACCAUGUGGAUGGGGGGGCCUGUGCUUCUGACUGUACACCUGAGAGAACCCUUCAUGGGCCUGGUGCCACCUCUUGCAGAAACAAAGCAGGACUCAGUCUCCGGAGGACAUGCCCAACCAGGCACCAGGGGCCCAGCAGCUGUGUUCCCAGCAGCCCCACAUGGGGACACCGCCCACAGCAGCCACUGGGGUGGGAAGAAGACUGUGCCUCUCUACUGCUUGGAUCUGGGGAAGAGAAUGGAGAGAGAACCAGAACAUCCAGACCUGCAGAGUCAGAGAAAUUUAAAUCAGGAGUGUGCUCCUGCUGGUCAUGGAAUUUGCAAUCCGAUCCUCACGAAAGCCCCACUGAAGUGGCAGUUGCAUCUGUCACCCAUUUUACAGAUGAUGGAACUGAGGUACAGAGGACCCUGAAGUCACAAGGUGCAGGGCUGGCAUCCACCGGGUCUGGAUUCUUAGCCACGCCACUUCCAUUCCUCAGAAAGGAAGACAAGGGGCAUCUGACUCUGGUUUUUAGCACCAGAAACAGUUCUUCCAAUAAAACUCUGGCUGGAAGCCCAGUUCAUAAAAUGGGUAGCAGAGGGGUCACUCUGGUGCAGAAGUGAGGCUGAGAGCCUCUGGCUCUUGGACCUCUGCCCCUACGGCACCCCAGAACCCAGGGGAUCCAAGGACCCUAGCCUGAAAGUUGCCCAGCGAGGUGAUUCUGAAGGCCAGGGUUCUAGAAAUACUGCUUCUGCUGAAAGGGACGAAGACAGAAAUGUGUUACGGGGUCAUGUAAACAGAUGAGGAGUCAUCUUGCUUUAAAUAAGAUUGCCCUCCAUUAUCCUGAAUCAUGGCCCCCAUGGAGAGUUUUUGUGUGGAAGACUCACUUAGCCUACUUCGGUUUCAAAAACAAAACAAAACAACCCUAGACCCUCAGCAGCUGGCUGGAAUAAAUGCAAGCCCUCACUCUCCCAGCCCUCAUUAGAACAGGCCCCAGUCUCCCCUGUUUCCUUUGCUGCUGGGCCUCCAGCUGUGCCGACGCAGGGCAGGGGCCCAGUGAUUUUUGUCGAAUGAACAGAUGGCUGAAUGAGAGAGCCAAUGAAUGGACCAAUGAGUAGACGGACAGACCGGGGCUUGAUUGGUCGACCUUCUUGCAAACAGACAUCAACACAGAGCCUUCAGCCACACUGGCUUUGAGAUUUGAGGAACAAAUCAAGAUGAAGAGUAGUACUGGAUUUGGGGCUUCCCUGGGGGCUCAGUGGUAAAGAAUCCACCUGGCAACGCAGGAGCCAUGGGUUCACUCCUUGGUCCAGGAAGAUCCCACAGGCUAUGGAGCAACUAAGCCCGUGCGCCACAACUUCUGAGCCCAGGAGUCCCAACUACUGAGCUCACAUUCUGCAACUACUGAGCCCACAUCCUGCAACUACCAAAGCCUGUGAGCCCUAGAGCCUGUGUUCUGCAACAAGAGCAGCCACAGAAAUGAGAAGCCCAAGCAACACAAAUAGAGAGUAGCUGCCUCUUGCCACAACUAGAGAAAAGUCCAUGCAGCAAGAAAGACCCAGCACAGCCCAAAGUAAAGAAAACAAAUAAAGAAAAUAAACAAAAAGAAACGUGGAGGCAUGAGGGAGUCAGCAGGUCACAGAGGAACAGCAGACUUUGCUGCUGCAGGUGAGGGCCACCGUGGACGCUACAAUCAGCGGAAGAAUGUUUAAGAGAAGCAAGAUCUGCAUGGUCGCAAGUUAUUUCUCCCCAAACAUUCAUUAGCUACAGAGGAAAAAACAAUAAUUCUAUAAUAGAGAGAUCUGGAGGACGCCAGGGUCACUCGUGGACAAGGUUGGGAUCCCCAGCAAUGGCAUGAAGUGCCGUGUGCCUCCUGACGUUUUUUGCCAUUUUUCCGAUAAUACACAGCCCCCGUCCAAUCUUUAGAAAGCAUCAGACAAGCCCAAGUUGAGCAACAUUUCACAAAACACCUGGCGAGCGCUCUUUGAAAAGUAAAGUUCAUGGGAGAGAAGGAAAGACUGAGGAGGCUUUCCAGGUCGGAAAAGACGGAGGAGAUGUGCAGCCAAGGCCACUGAGAUGGGGCAGAACAAAUACACAUGGGGCUCAGUGGACCUGGUGCUUAACUGGCUUAAGACAGCAAAAGCGUCUCCACUCAGUUCUGGAGAUCAGAGCCCAACAUGAGGGCAGAUCUGUGCUCUUGCCAGAGCCCACCACAGCCCUGGGUGGGCAGGGUGGGCAGGGUGGGCAUCUGUUUCCUGCCUUUUCCCAGCAUCCCUUGACUCUUGGCCCCUCCUUCAUCCUCACAGCCCUCUGACCUCUGCUUCUGUCCUCACCUCUCCGGACACCCUGACCCUCCUGCCUCUCUUACAGGGCCUUUGUGACAGCACUGGGCCCACCUGGAUUGCCAGGCUACUCACCCCGUCCCAAGGUCCUCACCUUGGUCACACCUGCAAAGUCCCCUUUGCCAGGUUCAAUCACAUAUUCUUGGUCCCAGAAACUCUGAUGGGCUCACGCUGGGGUCAGGAAGCCUGCCUCCUAGGGCAUGGAUGGGGAACCCAAGGCCUGCUCAGCCCUGGUCGUGGAAUGACCCCCAGGAGACCUGCAUACACUCUUCACGUGGCAGACAUGCACCUGGAGAUGCACAGACAACUCUUCAGCCUUGCUGGACCCUGUGAGUCAGGUGAAUGAGCCCAUUUUACAGAUGAGGAGACUGAGUCUUGGCAAGUGGAUUUGCACAAAGUCUGGCAGAGGGUCGGGGUGGAGCUGAGUCAGUGUCCCUGCACUUUCUUGACAGUGUGUCUGAAUUACUCAACUCUGUGCCCUCUGCACACAGGCCCUCCGGUCCCCAGAGGAUCCUAGUUUCCCUGGCAUGGUUACUUCCCUUCAUGCCUGCAGAGAUGGGUGGGGGAGGGCAGGUGGGUGUGUCCUGCACUGGGGCAUUUUCCACCAGAACACAAGCCCGGCAGGUCUCAGUAAUGGCCCUCCACCGUGGGGAGUGGACUCAGGUCUGCAUGUCUUGCUUCUUCUCGCUUUCCCCAAGAUACUUUUGGCAACAGUGCCUGAGCCCCAUCAUCCUUCCUCCAGCCCCCUACGUCAGCACAACAUGUCCCUGCGGAUAGACGCCAAAGAUCAGCAGACAAGUGUGGGAUGAGGUGAGCUCUGAGCCAGCUGGACGCGAAACCUCCCCUGACAUGGCCAGAGUUACAUCACUGGGACGGGCAGGUGCUCCCCACCAGCCCAGUCCUGAAGGGGCUGGGGACAUUGCCUCAGUCGUGGCUCCUUCCACCUGUCUGCGCCUCUAGCGGCCCCUCCACUUCCCUCCUGCCUGUGAGGUUCCCUGGAAAAUUCUGUGUGAAGAGGCAGUCCCGAGAGGGGAGGGUGUACACCAUCCAGUCUCCACCCAGUCACGCCCCUGGAAGGGGCAGGAAGCUGGCCAGAGAGGGGACAGCAUUGUCCAAGGUCACUGGGAAGUGGGCCAUCCCUUGAAGACCCAAGAGGGGACACCCUGCCUGGUCAUCCCCCCAUCUGAUUCCGGGGAGCCACAGGAGCGUCUUCCUGGGAGAACCUCAGCUGGGGGAGGGCCAGACGGGCGUCUAGUGUCUUCAGGGGCCCCUGCCCUUCUCCUGCAUUGCCUUGUUUUGUCUUUCCAGAACCCGGGACUCCUGGUUCCUAAUCCAUACCCCCCACCAUGCUGGAGAAAUGUCCAGAACAUAACAAACACCCCAGUCCUGCUGCCUCAGCUGUCACACAGGUGGAGGGGUGAGCCAGCCACAGCCAUCUGGCCUCCAGUGUUGUACCUUCCGGCGUCUCUGAGUGACUUGGAGACAGUGGUUACCAGGCCCCUCUCCUCAGCCUUGGGGGUCCUUAACACAAGCAGGAGCAGGAGGCAGGUGGGAGGAUGGGAAGAGUCCUAUGAAGGCUGUCACAUCCCUGUCUGUCAUGUCCAUUUCAGCUUUACCACAACCCCAGGAGGGGCUCUGCCCCUUUUCUGGACAGGAGACUGAGGCCCCCAAACCCCACACCAUUCAUGGAUGUGUGCUAGGGGCUCCCUGUCACCCUGGGCCUCCCAGAGGCGAAAUCUGGGGCGACAGCCAGGGUGUUCAGGGCUAGGAGGGGGAGAUGGGCUCUGAGCCCGUUGGGCGCUCAGGCCUGAGCCAGUUCACACCUCCUGGACCCUCAGCCCCUUUGUCUAUAAAAUGAGGAGGAUGGUGCCCACUGCCCAGGUCAUCAAGAGAGUCAGUCCCAGGCACAGGCCAUGCCAGACCCUCUGCAGCCCCAGCCUGAGUUGUGGUCUCAUCUGGGGUCAUGCCCUCUGGAAGACCAUGGGCCUGAUGUGGGCUUGCCUGACAGAGCCCAGCCACCUGGAGGUGGCUACUCUCCUCAGGUAGCUGGCCUUAAAGCCCCACACUCAUCUGGGACCAUGGCUGGGGUCUGGCAGGAGAUGGAGCUCAUGCGCAGCAGGUCAUUGGCGGGACGGGGUAUGAUGUGGUCUGAGCCCUGUCGGAGGAAACCAGCGCCCAGGGCUGGCAGAGUGGAGGCUGGCACCACCCCAAGGUUGCAGGGCAAGGAGCGGGGCAGACCCUGGAGCCCGGAAAGAGCUGUCAGACCCUGGUCUGACACAAGAUCCCCAUGCUCCUUCCUCCUGCUUAUCUGACCCACAGGCAGCCGGAGCAUGGUGGUGGAGGGUGGUCGUCUGAGCAGGCAGGGGGCAGGGCAGGGGCAGAGCCUGGACUGCGGGGGUGAGUGGGGGUGGCACCUGCCCUCACCCCUCCCGGCUCUGGGGGUCCUUUAACUUCCCUGCCCACGAAGCAGGUGGCUUCUCCCCACAGUCAGCAUGCUGGCUGACCUUCUCCUCUGCCCACCCGCCUCCCCCUACACUGGAGUGUGCGAUGGUAACUGAGAGGCAGCAGCAGGCACAUUGCCCUCUGGGCACAGAGAGUGGGAGGAGGAGGUGGUGGGUGUGCUGACGAAGGCUCUUACCAGCCACUCAGCGGCAGGCAGAGCAGGUGGGGGGCUGCAGACAACCCCCAGGCUGCCCUGUACACCUGAUGCUGUGUGUGGACACAGGAAGUCCAUUUUUCAAGGCAU